CUCUCUCUCUCUCUCUCUCUCUCUCUCUCUCGUUCGUACACACACACACACACACACACUCAGAUGAUGAGAUGAAAAUUUAUAUAUGGAAAUACUGAUAUAAAACAGAUAGGUAAUGCAAUUCAUAUAUAUGUUGAAGCUCACGUGAUCCUCUUGAUGGAAUAGAAAAGCAGGUCUUGUUUACGCAUCUAUUUUGUCUCUCUGACUGAUGAUAGUUGAAAAUUUAGGUAUAAAUAUAAUAUAUUAUAACCAAUGCAAUUUAUAGAGGCAGAGUUAUUGAAGUUCACAUGGUGAUGCCUAUGGAAUUAGGAACGAAAAGUCUAUUUGGGGACCCUGACUUAUUUUUGUUUGAUCAAAACAAGCAAAAGAGAUCCAUUGCUGUGUUGUAAAGAAGGGAGGUGAUUUUAUUGAUCGCUGAAAAUUUAGAACUGAAAGUGGAUAGUAAUGCAAAAGUUUGAAGACUUAAAGACCUUGCAUGUUUAUGCUUAGAAAUUGUCAAUAAAAAAGAGAUAAAUUUCUUUAACUUUGACAUUGUUAAUCAAGUGAGGCAAGACAUAAAAUGGAAGCCGAGUAAUGGGUAAAAUGAAGACUCAAAAACCUUGCACGUGCAUGCAUUACAAAUUGUCAAAAAAAAAGUGAUAAAUUUCUUUACUUUGAUAUUGUUAAUCAAGUGAGGCAAGACAUAAAAUGGAAACCAAGUAAUGGGGCAAGGCUUGUUUCUUGUAGUUGGCCGAUAUUUUUAAUUUCCUUCGCUGUCGAUUGAUUUUGUUAUUAUAUGAAUACAACAAAGAUUACCUCCUCUAUUUAGUAUUAAUAGCAAGGAGCAAAGAAAGAGCAAGAAGAGCACUGGUUCUUUGUGACUAUAGUCAAAUGCAAAUGCAUUGAAAGUAACUCUAAUAAAUUAAAAACAAAGUAGAAUUUAGCUAAAAGAAGUUUCUGACUCCCCCCAAAAUAAAUGCCAAGAGGGAGGUAAUUAAACAUGGGGACCUAAUUCUUUAUAAUACAAUUACAAAUCCUUGGCUGGUCUAGUGUUAACAGUUAAGUCACUACUUCCUUGGCCACAAAGGCUUGGCUAAUAUUCGGGGGGAAAAAGGAAAGAUGAGACCCAUUUUUGUUGGCUAGGGGAUUGGAGUUUGUCGUAAUGGAAAUGCAGUCCAAACUCUAAAGCUGGGGUUGCAAGGGCAAUAUCAAUUUUUACCGCAUCUUGUACAUCUUAUCUCUGUAAUGGACACCUGCAUACAACUUCAGAUACAUAACCUUGAGCAUGCAUGCCAAAAACUCUGGUAGUUUUAGACAUACACUCUAUGGUGUCCCCACUCUUUCAGUCAACACCUUCUUAACAACCCUUCUCAGAAUGGAGAUUUUAACCUUCCUUCAAUAGCUAAUGGAGUUGUUUCAGCUUGGGCCUCACUAGAAAGUUUUUGAUUAGUGAGUUCUUGACAGACUUCAGGGUUGCUAGUAGAUUGCUCAGAAUGUUGCAGUGAAAUGUGAAAAGCCUGUAAAGGAGUGAAGAGCCAGUAUGGACUUUAUCCUUGACCCUUGAUUAUUCCUUUUACACCAGUAUUUUAAUCACCCCCUAUUGUUUUCCUGAACUUUUCAAAUUUUAUGCUGCUAACUUUUUCGAUAUACAAUCCACUGCUUGGUCAUGUGUCUUCAUUGCCUGCAUUUCUCUCUCCAUUUGGCACCUUUUCUCUUAUAAAGUGACAUAGUAAUAAUGUGCAUCCGGAUGCUUGCUUUUGGCAUAAAAAGGAUUUUCUGCCUCAAGUUGGCUGACUCGUUGCAUCAGUGUAGUGACACCAGAUCAUCUAUUGUUUUCUGUACAUCCUUCAUUAGUUGUUUUAACUCCGUGCUCUCUCUCUCUCUCUCUCUCACUCUCUCAUAAGACUAUAGGAUCUAGUCUGCUGUCAUUAUAAAGAUGAAAGUAAACCUCAAAAACCACCUGGAGGUGGUAAGAGUCUAAAAAACAAGAAAGGAAGGAUGGAAAAAAGAAAAAAAGACUAAACCAGGUCCUCAAAACCUCCACCACCUUAGACCCAACCUGGAAUUUUCAAUUUUACAAAGAUUCUCUGUUUAGCCUGUCUCUUUCUAUCUGGUAUAGCCAAAGCCCAUUGUCCAAUCAGCACCUUUAUUCUCCUCACUAGAUUCGUAACCUAGCUUUGGGAUCUCUUAUGCUACCAUAACCUUUUAAGUUUUAUCCCUUCGGCAUUGAUUAGUUUAGUUGACAAGCUUCAAGAAGAGAACUUGUUUAAGUCUGCUAAUCUCUAGGACUGCAUUUGAAGGUUUUAAGUUCCAAACCCAUGAUUCCUUUGUUUCCAAUAGGUUUGACCUGCUAGUGGGUAGCUAAAGUUAAAUUCUAAUGGAUCUACGCAUCAGCCUACUGUUGGUUAUGGUGUUUUUGAAGCUGGUGAUACUCUAUUAUUAUACUAUGGUCUACGCAUCAGCCAAAUGCUGGUUGCGGCGUUUUGGUUAGGGAUGAAGCUGGCGAUACUCUAUUGUUGUACUAUGGUAUCAGGGCAUGCCAUACAGCUGGAAGAAGACCGUAUAAAACUAUGGAUUGACUUAGAAAAAAACACUUGUGGAGUGGAUUAAUAAGAAAAGGGAACCAUCUUAGGAUGUUAGCCACCUUCUUGUGAAAUUAUGGAAGUGUCUAGCCUCGUUGGAAGAUUAUUGAGUCACUCGUGUAUGGAGAGAAGGGAACCAUGCUGCAAAUAUUUUGUCUAAAACUGUUCCACCUGGUACUCUAGGGGAGGAUCUAGUUGUCGCUUAUCUGAAAUUAUCCGUCUUACCUGUGUCUUGUUUGUAUUAUUGAAGAUGAUAGGUAGGUAAGAGCAUACAAUAGAAUAGAUCUUGAAAUUUAUACCACUUUGUCCUUUACAUUAUAAAUAUCAAAAGAAGUUUUAAAUUUAAUCAGAAAAGUUUAGCCA